GGGGUUAUAGCUCAGUUGGUAGAGCACCUCCAUGGCAUGGAGGGGGUCUGCGGUUCGAAUCCGCAUGACUCCA
rnacentral:tRNA from 2 species